UUUAAACAUUUUCUUGGAGACGUGUAUCCAACCACGUCCAACAGAGUAUUUUGAAAAUAUAUAUUUUUAGUACCAGUAGUUUCCCACCUAUACUGAUCUAAUUUCUUAAUGAAUAACUACAUUAGGAUCAAGACGAAGUUGACUUUUAUUUUUUAUCCAGGAGGCAAGGAUGGAAAGCAACGAAAACAGAAAUGAGAGCGAGAAAGACGACGAGGCUAUUGAAUUGAAUUACAGAAUUGAUGAUAAUCCACCCUGGUAUCUCUCUUUGUUGUUAGGAUUUCAG